UACAGAGGUCCCAAGCGUUGUUCGGAUUCACUGGGCGUAAAGGGUGCGUAGGUGGUGAGGUAAGUCGGAUGUGAAAUCUCCGGGCUCAACCCGGAAAUGGCAUUGGAAACUACCUUGCUGGAGGGUUUGAGGGGGGAUUGGAAUACUUGGUGUAGCAGUGAAAUGCGUAGAUAUCAGGAGGAACACCAAUGGCGAAGGCAGCUCGCUGGGACGGUACUGACACUGAGACGCGAAAGCGUGGGGAGCAAACAGG
rnacentral:rRNA from 1 species